rnacentral:SRP_RNA from 1 species
GCCGGGCAUGGUGGCUCAUGCCUGUAAUCCCAGCACUUUGGGAGGCCGAGGUGGGUGGAUCACCUGAGGUCAGGAGUUCAAGACCAGCCUGGCCAACAUGGUGAAACCCCAUCUCUA